GCAAGGGCUGCUAAGGAUUAGCAUAACACAAAAAUCCCCAUAAACAUCUGUCGGUUUAAGCUGUGUCGCACCUCCGCAUCUGUGGUGAAAAGUGACAGCGCUAUCGCGGUGUCUGACCAUGAGACUUCCUGAAAAUCGGUCUGUAGCAACCCCUCUGUGGAAAGAUGAGACUCUCACAAACACAAUGUGCUCUGUUCUACGACCCACAUGCGUCUUGGGACUGAAGUCGGUACAGCCGAUCUGCCAACUUCUGUCUGUAGCGUCUGAACGGCCUCAGUCGCAUUGUUCUCAAGAGUCUGGGGAAGUUCAUAUUGGAAAGGUCCCAAGAAACAAAGAGAUCUUCUGUUGAAUCUGACAAUCAAUCUUAAUGGUUGUACAGUCGUCUCAAAUAAAACUGUGAAGGACCUCGGCGCUACUCUGGACCCUGAUCUCUAUUUUGAAGAACAUAUCAAGACCAUUUCAAGGCCAGCUUUUUUCCAUCUACGUAACAUUGCAAAAAUCAGAAACUUUCUGUCCAAAAAUGAUGCAGAAAAAUUAAUCCAUGCUUUUGUCACUUCUAGGUUAGACUACUGCAAUGCUCUACUUUCCGGCUACCCGGAUAAAGCACUAAAUAAAUUUCAGUUAGUGCUAAAUACGGCUGCUAGAAUCCUGACUAGAACCAAAACAUUUGAUCAUAUUACUCCAGUGCUAGCCUCCCUACACUGGCUUCCUGUCAAAGCAAGGGCUGAUUUCAAGGUUUUACUGCUAACCUACAAAGCAUUACAUGGGCUUGCUCCUACCUAUCUCUCUGAUUUGGUCCUGCCGUACAUACCUACACGUACGCUACGGUCACAAGACGCAGGCCUCCUAAUUGUCCCUAGAAUUUCUAAGCAAACAGCUGGAGGCAGGGCUUUCUCCUAUAGAGCUCCAUUUUUAUGGAAUGGUCUGCCUACCCAUGUCAGAGACGCAAACUCGGUCUCAACCUUUACUGAAGACUCAUCUCUUCAGUGGGUCAUAUGAUUGAGUGUAGUCUGGCCCAGGAGUGGGAAGGUGAACGGAAAGGCUCUGGAGCAACGAACCGCCCUUGCUGUCUUUGCCUGGCCGGUUCCCCUCUUUCCACCGGGAUUCUCUGCCUCUAACCCUAUUACAGGGGCUGAGUCACUGGCUUACUGGGGCUCUCUCAUGCUGUCCCUGGAAGGGGUGCGUCACCUGAGUGGGUUGAUUCACUGAUGUGGUCAUCCUGUCUGGGUUGGCGCCCCCCCUUGGGUUGUGCCAUGGCGGAGAUCUUUGUGGGCUAUACUCAGCCUUGUCUCAGGAUGGUAAAUUGGUGGUUGAAGAUAUCCCUCUAGUGGUGUGGGGACUGUGCUUUGGCAAAGUGGGUGGGGUUAUAUCCUUCCUGUUUGGCCCUGUCCUCGGAUGGGGCCACAGUGUCUCCUGACCCCUCCUGUUUCAGCCUCCAGUAUUUAUGCUGCAGUAGUUUAUGUGUCGGGGGGCUAGGGUCAGUUUGUUAUAUCUGGAGUACUUCUCCUGUCCUAUUCGGUGUCCUGUGUGAAUCUAAGUGUGCGUUCUCUAAUUCUCUCCUUCUCUCUUUCUUUCUCUCUCUCGGAGGACCUGAGCCCUAGGACCAUGCCCCAGGACUACCUGACAUGAUGACUCCUUGCUGUCCCCAGUCCACCUGGCCAUGCUGCUGCUCCAGUUUCAACUGUUCUGCCUUAUUAUUAUUCGACCAUGCUGGUCAUUUAUGAACAUUUGAACAUCUUGGCCAUGUUCUGUUAUAAUCUCCACCCGGCACAGCCAGAAGAGGACUGGCCACCCCACAUAGCCUGGUUCCUCUCUAGGUUUCUUCCUAGGUUUUGGCCUUUCUAGGGAGUUUUUCCUAGCCACCGUGCUUCUACACCUGCAUUGCUUGCUGUUUGGGGUUUUAGGCUGGGUUUCUGUACAGCACUUUGAGAUAUCAGCUGAUGUACGGAGGGCUAUAUAAAUACAUUUGAUUUGAUAUCGUUUUGAAUCAAUUUUGUAUAUAAUUUGGUUGAAAAUGACACUACCCAAAGUGGGCACAUGUGAAAAUGAUUGGCUUUCGGAGUCAACUCUCCGCCUUCGUUCAUAGCCAUGGGAAUUAGGGGUUCUGAGGGUGCUGUCUAUAAUAUAUCCUGUUGCCUAGUCACUUUACACCUACCUAUAUGUACAGUUGAAGUCAGAAGUUUACAUACACUUAGGUUGGAGUCAUUUAAAAAAAUAAAAAAUGUAACCACUCCACAAAUUUCUUGUUAACAAACUAUAGUUUUGGCAAGUCCGUUAUGACAUCUACUUUUGUGCAUGACAACUAAUUUUUCCAACAAUUGUUUACAGACAGAUUAUUUAACUUAUAAUUCACUGUAUCACAAUUCCUGUGGGUCAGAAGUUUACAUACACUAAGUUGAGUUCCAGAUAAUGAUGUCAUGGCUUUAGAAGCUUCUGGUAGGCUAAUUGACAUAAUUUGAGUCAAUUGGAGGUGUACCUGUGGAUGUAUUUCAAGGCCUACCUUCAAACUCAGUGCCUCUCUGCUUGACAUCAUGGGAAAAAUCUAAAGAAAUCAGCCAAGACCUCAGAAAAGAAAUUGUAGACCUCCACGAAUCUGGUUCAUCCAUGGGAGCAAUUUCCAAACAUCUGAAGGUACCACGCUCAUCUGUACAAACAAUAGUACGCAAGUAUAAACACCAUGGGACCACACAGCCGUCAUACCGCAUGGGGACAAGGAUCAUAAUUUUUGGAGAAAUAUAAUCUGGUCUGAUGAGACAAAAAUAGAACUGUUUGGUCAUAAUGACCAUCAUUAUGUUUGGAGGAAAAUGGGGGAGGCUUGCAAGCCGAAGAACACCAUCCCAAUCGUGAAGCAUGGGGAUGGCAGCAUCAUGUUGUGGGGGGUGCUUUGCUGCAGGAGAGACUGGUGCACUUCACAAAAUAGAUGGCAUCAUGAGAGGGGAAAUUUUGUAUAUAUUGAAGUAACAUCUCAAGAAAUCAGUUAAAGCUUGGUCGCAAAUAAGUCUUCCAAAUGGACCCCAAGCAAGCUUCCAAAUUUAUGUCAAAAUCGCCUAAGGCCAACAAAGUCAAGGUAUUGGAGUGGCCUAUCACAAAGCCCUGACCUCAAACCUAUAGAAAAUAUGUCGGCAGAACUGAAAAAGUGUGUGAAAGCAAGGAGGCCUACAAACCUGACUCAGUUACACCAGUUCUGUCAGGAGGAAAGGGCCAAAAUUCACCCAACUUAUUGUGUGAAGCUUGUGGAAGGCUACCCAAAACAUUUGACCCAAGUUAAACCAUUUAAAGGCAAUGCUACCAAAUAAUAAUUGAGUGUAUGUAAACUUCUGACCCACUGGGACUGUGAUGAAAGAAAUAAAAGCUGAAAAAUAUUUCACAUUCUUAAAAUAAAGUGGUGAUCCUAACUGACCUAAGACAGGGAAUGUUUUACUGGGAUUAAAUGUCAGGAAAUGUGAAAAACUGAGUUUAAAUGUAUUUGGAUAAGGUGUAUGUAAAUUUCCGACUUCAACUGUACAUUCUGUAGCUACCUCAGUUACCUUGUACCCCUGCACAUCGACUCAGUACUGGUACUUCUUGUAUAUAGCCAAGUUAUUGUUAUUCUUUAUUCACUGUGUAUUUAUUCCUUGUGUCAUUAUUUCUAUUUGCAUUGUUGGAAAAUGACCUGUAAGUAAGCAUUUCAAUGUUGUUUAUGAAGCA